AUUGAACGCUGGCGGCAUGCCUUACACAUGCAAGUCGAACGGCAGCACGGGGGCAACCCUGGUGCGAGUGGCGAACGGGUGAGUAAUACAUCGGAACGUGCCCCGUAGCGGGGGACAACCAGUCGAAAGACUGGCUAAUACCGCAUACGCUCCACGGAGGAAAGCAGGGGAUCGCAAGACCUUGCACUAUGGGAGCGGCCGAUGCCCGAUUAGCUAGUUGGUGAGGUAAAGGCUCACCAAGGCAACGAUCGGUAGCUGGUCUGAGAGGACGACCAGCCACACUGGGACUGAGACACGGCCCAGACUCCUACGGGAGGCAGCAGUGGGGAAUUUUGGACAAUGGGCGCAAGCCUGAUCCAGCCAU
rnacentral:rRNA from 1 species